rnacentral:lncRNA from 1 species
CCUAAUAAGAGGUUUCUGUGAGUACUUCAGAGGUUGUCUCAGUGAGAAAAAGAACAAGAGGCAGCAUGAGAUUUAUGACCAACAUAGGAAAGAAGAUUUUGUGGAAGAUAAACUGUCUACAACAGGAAGAAUGUUCAAGUUACAUUGACUGAUUUACCUAAAGAUGAUUUUUUCUCCAGAACAAGUCUGGUGUAAACUGAAAAAAACCUUCUGCUCUCUUUUCAUCCCCAUUUAAUUAUUUGGAAUUGUCAGCUCACAGCCAUGUGCAAAU